rnacentral:tRNA from 2 species
GGAGAGGUGCCAGAGUGGCCGAAUGGGCUUGACUCGAAAUCAAGUGAACCCUUUGGGUUCCCAGGGUUCGAAUCCCUGCCUCUCCGCCA